UAGGGAAUCUUCCGCAAUGGGCGAAAGCCUGACGGAGCAACGCCGCGUGAGUGAUGAAGGUCUUCGGAUCGUAAAACUCUGUUAUUAGGGAAGAACAAAUGUGUAAGUAACUAUGCACGUCUUGACGGUACCUAAUCAGAAAGCCACGGCUAACUACGUGCCAGCAGCCGCGGUAAUACGUAGGUGGCAAGCGUUAUCCGGAAUUAUUGGGCGUAAAGCGAGCGCAGGCGGUCAAUUAAGUCUGAUGUGAAAGCCCCCGGCUCAACCGGGGAGGGUCAGUGGAAACUGGGUGACUUGAGUGCAGAAGAGGAGAGUGGAAUUCCAUGUGUAGCGGUGAAAUGCGUAGAUAUAUGGAGGAACACCAGUGGCGAAGGAGACUCUCUGGUCUGUAACUGACGCUGAGGUUCGAAAGCGUGGGUAGCAAACAGG
rnacentral:rRNA from 1 species